AUGAAGGAUGGGCACUCCUCGGUGUGCCGGAAUUUAACCUCCGACACCCGCAUAUUAGUCUACUCGGAGGAAGAAAUUGAAGCGUGGGGCUGGAAAAAGCCAGGGCACUUGGGGGGAAGAGCUGUAUUUACUCCAUCACGGCACAGUGUCUCAGAAGUGGGGGAGGAUAUCCACCUGUGGGUUGUGUGGCCUGACAAGCCCCAAGUCGCAGGUUGCUGGGUAUCAGCUCCAACCGUGCAAGUGCUCAGCUGUGUCCAACUCUUUGCGACCCUAUGGACUGUAGCCCAUCAGGCUCUUCUGUCCAUGGGGUUCUUCAGGCAAGAAUACUGGAGUGGGUUGCCAUACCCUCCUCCAGGGGAUCUUCCCAAUCAAGGGAUCGAAUCUGCAUCUCCUAUGUCUCCUGUAUUGCAGACAGAUUCUUCACCUGCUGAGCCACUGAGGAAGCCCCAUCGGCUCCAAAGCCAGGAACAAAUUCAGGCAUCAGCUGAAUGGAUGCGCCAACUCUCAGUAGCAAUGGCAGCUCUUAAGGAAAGCAGAUGGGGACACAGGACAGAAGGUAUCAAAGACACUGAGUAUCUGGAGAGGGGGGAGAAGGAGCAGUUGUUUUUUGAUGGAUACAGAAGGCCUCAGAUUCCAAAAGAGCAAACACCUCUCUAGGCACAUGGAGGAAGAUGAUACGGCGCACACCUGGAGUAGAUCUGACUGAUCUACCCCAGCCCCAAACCGCCGAUAUGUACUUUCUGGACCCUGAUCUUCCUCUGCCUCCCCCAGCCGUAGCUUCUGAGAGUAGCUAAAUCUCAGUGGUUACACAUGAGACUGCAGUCAUCAGCUGCAAAUUCACCAGGAGUUUCAGGGUUCCUCAAUUCAUCCUAACCAGCAAAUUACGAGCCGGGAGCAGCUUUAUAAAAUAUGAAACGGCUGCUGUCAGUUUUUCCAUCAGUUCUACAUAUUUUGCUGUUAACAAAAGGAACCGAUAACCACUUCUCAUAAGGAAAAACAAGAAUAAAAUCAAAGGCUCCUAAUGGAGACAAUCUCCAAAGUGCAACAAUACAAGCCCAUUUCUUUCUUUCUUUUUUUCCUUCCCUGACAAAUCAAUCUGGCCAUGGUCCAAGGAUACAGGCAGACAGACGGAGCUACCUCACCUGUUUUAUUAAGCCAUUACCAGAAUCAUUUUAUUCCCAUUUAUAAUGUUCAAUACAUGGUCUGAAGACUUUUCUAAUAUAGUAAUUAGAUGGAACACUAGAUAGAUGGAUUAAAUUGGGACGAUAUUUUAUGCCUUUGUACAUUGCUUUACAAUAUUCUGCCUGGUUUCUGAGAUACCAAAGUGUGAGCAUGUGUGUAUAUAUAUAAAUAUACCCCUUUUAUUUUGGAUGAGAAGGCUGUACUUUGCAUGUGGCUCAUCUCAGCGUAAGCCUUCCCAUGGAAAUCUGAUGGAAAUGUAUGAACCCCUGAUAGAACUCGCCAGGAAAUCCAUCCUAUAUUCCAUCUCCCCUUGCCCCCAAACAAAGGUUGCUCAAGUAUCCUCGCUGUUGUCAUGGUCACUACAGCUGACAUUUACUGGGUAUCAGGCAUGGAGCUGAGACCCUGACAUUUCUCAGGAGGUCACAUAACUUGGGGGCUCAAGAGCACAGGCUUUGAAAUUGCCCAGUGCUGGGGUUAAGCCCCGGUUCUCAUACAUGCUUGCUGUACGAUCUGGCGGAAGUCACUUUUUACCUCUCUGAGCCUCAGCUUUCCCUACCUGUAACAUGGGGAUAAAACCAGUACCCAUAUCACAAGCUUGUUAUUAAGAUACUUUGAUACUAAGAUGAUGCUUAGCAUGGGGCCAGACAGAGAAUAAGUGCUCAGAAAAUGUCAUUUUUAUUAUCAUCUCACUUAGCCCAAGGAGAUGGCAUCAUGCCUCUUUUACAGAUGGUGAAACUGAGGUUUGGAGAGGGGAAACAUUUACCCAGGUUACCAAAUAGGUGGGGGGCAUGGGUAUCUGUGUCCACAGACUUCUCACUUAACAACCACAAAAGACUGUCUCCUUUGAAGGGAAAAGAAGGGAUACCUCUACUAAGAAAUGCGUGUUGCAGGAGGAGGAGGGAUGUUGAACUAAUAAGCCCAUAAGCCCCUAAUUUGUACCUAAGAUAUGGACUUAAAUUAUAGUCCUAACUCUAAGGGUCUAAGAAAUCUAGACUUGGUGAUCAACAAAGAUCUCCUUUCAUGUGCCCCCUCCUCUCAUUCCGUGAGAUGACACAAAAAUGAAGCCAGAGAAAUGAGUCCUGCAGGUGUCACCUGAGCCCACUCACUUCUCAGGCACCUUCCUUACAUGGGAAAACUGAGACACUGAAAGGUCAAACCGGGAGCAUCAUAGCAAGAUAGGACACUACUUUAUAGAGUGGAACACUGACGCUCAAGAGAGGUGGUGCAACCUGUCUGUGGUCACUUGAGGUCACAUUAAGGACCUCUUUCUGCACAAGAGUGCCUCAGUGAUCCUCCCAAUUCCAAUUAUGCAAAAAAAAC
ensembl:lncRNA